GAGACACCCUUAUGGAGCAGGACUUCUUCAGUGGGGCUUUGGUGCUCACUGAGUCUGCCCCUAUAGUGUGUUGCU
rnacentral:pre_miRNA from 1 species